CAAGCCCUUCCCGCCGACCUCACAUGCUUCCAACUGAUUUCUCUCAUAGAUAUGCAAACAUACCCCGAAAAUUUAUUUGGAUGGAGUACAUGAUAUAACAAGGAUGAUGGUGCAUUUUGGAAAACCAUUAGCGCAUGUAAAAGCAUACUAUACUAU